rnacentral:rRNA from 1 species
GACGAACGCUGGCGGCGUGCUUAACACAUGCAAGUCGAGCGACGCUCUUCCUUCGGGGAGAUGACGGAGCGGCGAACGGGUGAGUAACACGUGGGCAACCUGCCCCUAGCUCUGGGACAACACCGGGAAACCGGUGCUAAUACCGGAUACGACAUCGAGCGGCAUCUCUCGAUGUGGAAAGUUUUUUCGGCUAGGGAUGGGCCCGCGGCCUAUCAGCUUGUUGGUGGGGUAAUGGCCCACCUAGGCGACGACGGGUAGCCGGCCUGAGAGGGCGACCGGCCACACUGGGACUGAGACACGGCCCAGACUCCUACGGGAGGCAGCAGUGGGGAAGAUUGCGCAAUGGGCGAAAGCCUGACGCAGCGACGCCGCGUGAGGGAUGACGGCCUUCGGGUUGUAAACCUCUUUCAGCAGGGACGAAUUCAGACGGUACCUGCAGAAGAAGCACCGGCCAACUACGUG